rnacentral:miRNA from 1 species
AAUAUAGGAUGCCCAGUGAAAUUUGAAAUUCAGAUAACAAUGAAUUUUCUUAGUAUAAGUAUGGCCCAUGCAAUAUUUGGGACAUACUUAUACUAAAAAAUUUUGUUGUUCUUUACCUGAAAUUCAUAUUUCACUGGGCAUCCUCUAUUUU